rnacentral:rRNA from 1 species
AGCGUACACGGUGGAUGCCCUGGCAGUCAGAGGCGAUGAAGGACGUGCUAAUCUGCGAUAAGCGUCGGUAAGGUGAUAUGAACCGUUAUAACCGGCGAUUUCCGAAUGGGGAAACCCAGUGUGAUUCGUCACACUAUCAUUAACUGAAUCCAUAGGUUAAUGAGGCGAACCGGGGGAACUGAAACAUCUAAGUACCCCGAGGAAAAGAAAUCAACCGAGAUUCCCCCAGUAGCGGCGAGCGAACGGGGAGCAGCCCAGAGCCUGAAUCAGUGUGUGUGUUAGUGGAAGCGUCUGGAAAGGCGCGCGAUACAGGGUGACAGCCCCGUACACAAAAAUGCACAUGCUGUGAGCUCGAUGAGUAGGGCGGGACACGUGGUAUCCUGUCUGAAUAUGGGGGGACCAUCCUCCAAGGCUAAAUACUCCUGACUGACCGAUAGUGAACCAGUACCGUGAGGGAAAGGCGAAAAGAACCCCGGCGAGGGGAGUGAAAAAGAACCUGAAACCGUGUACGUACAAGCAGUGGGAGCACGCUUAGGCGUGUGACUGCGUACCUUUUGUAUAAUGGGUCAGCGACUUAUAUUCUGUAGCAAGGUUAACCGAAUAGGGGAGCCGAAGGGAAACCGAGUCUUAACUGGGCGUUAAGUUGCAGGGUAUAGACCCGAAACCCGGUGAUCUAGCCAUGGGCAGGUUGAAGGUUGGGUAACACUAACUGGAGGACCGAACCGACUAAUGUUGAAAAAUUAGCGGAUGACUUGUGGCUGGGGGUGAAAGGCCAAUCAAACCGGGAGAUAGCUGGUUCUCCCCGAAAGCUAUUUAGGUAGCGCCUCGUGAAUUCAUCUCCGGGGGUAGAGCACUGUUUCGGCAAGGGGGUCAUCCCGACUUACCAACCCGAUGCAAACUGCGAAUACCGGAGAAUGUUAUCACGGGAGACACACGGCGGGUGCUAACGUCCGUCGUGAAGAGGGAAACAACCCAGACCGCCAGCUAAGGUCCCAAAGUCAUGGUUAAGUGGGAAACGAUGUGGGAAGGCCCAGACAGCCAGGAUGUUGGCUUAGAAGCAGCCAUCAUUUAAAGAAAGCGUAAUAGCUCACUGGUCGAGUCGGCCUGCGCGGAAGAUGUAACGGGGCUAAACCAUGCACCGAAGCUGCGGCAGCGACGCUUAUGCGUUGUUGGGUAGGGGAGCGUUCUGUAAGCCUGUGAAGGUGUACUGUGAGGUAUGCUGGAGGUAUCAGAAGUGCGAAUGCUGACAUAAGUAACGAUAAAGCGGGUGAAAAGCCCGCUCGCCGGAAGACCAAGGGUUCCUGUCCAACGUUAAUCGGGGCAGGGUGAGUCGACCCCUAAGGCGAGGCCGAAAGGCGUAGUCGAUGGGAAACAGGUUAAUAUUCCUGUACUUGGUGUUACUGCGAAGGGGGGACGGAGAAGGCUAUGUUGGCCGGGCGACGGUUGUCCCGGUUUAAGCGUGUAGGCUGGUUUUCCAGGCGAAAUCCGGAAAAUCAAGGCUGAGGCGUGAUGACGAGGCACUACGGUGCUGAAGCAACAAAUGCCCUGCUUCCAGGAAAAGCCUCUAAGCAUCAGGUAACAUCAAAUCGUACCCCAAACCGACACAGGUGGUCAGGUAGAGAAUACCAAGGCGCUUGAGAGAACUCGGGUGAAGGAACUAGGCAAAAUGGUGCCGUAACUUCGGGAGAAGGCACGCUGAUAUGUAGGUGAAGUCCCUCGCGGAUGGAGCUGAAAUCAGUCGAAGAUACCAGCUGGCUGCAACUGUUUAUUAAAAACACAGCACUGUGCAAACACGAAAGUGGACGUAUACGGUGUGACGCCUGCCCGGUGCCGGAAGGUUAAUUGAUGGGGUCAGCGCAAGCGAAGCUCUUGAUCGAAGCCCCGGUAAACGGCGGCCGUAACUAUAACGGUCCUAAGGUAGCGAAAUUCCUUGUCGGGUAAGUUCCGACCUGCACGAAUGGCGUAAUGAUGGCCAGGCUGUCUCCACCCGAGACUCAGUGAAAUUGAACUCGCUGUGAAGAUGCAGUGUACCCGCGGCAAGACGGAAAGACCCCGUGAACCUUUACUAUAGCUUGACACUGAACAUUGAGCCUUGAUGUGUAGGAUAGGUGGGAGGCUUUGAAGUGUGGACGCCAGUCUGCAUGGAGCCGACCUUGAAAUACCA